rnacentral:rRNA from 1 species
UUGGAGGGCAAGUCUGGUGCCAGCAGCCGCGGUAAUUCCAGCUCCAAUAGCGUAUAUUAAAGUUGUUGCAGUUAAAAAGCUCGUAGUUGAAUUUCGGGGUCAGUAGGUUGGUCAUGCCACUGGUAUGUACUGGUCUCACUGAUUCCUCCUUCCUGAUGAGCCGUAAUGCCAUUAAUUUGGUGUUGCGAGGAAUCUGGACUGUUACUUUGAAAAAAUUAGAGUGUUUAAAGCAGGCUAACGCUUGAAUACAUUAGCAUGGAAUAAUGAAAUAGGACGUUCGAUCUUAUUUUGUUGGUUUCUAAGAUUGACGUAAUGAUUAAUAGGGAUAGUUGGGGGCAUUAGUAUUCAAUUGUCAGAGGUGAAAUUCUUGGAUUUAUUGAAGACUAACUACUGCGAAAGCAUUUGCCAAGGAUGUUUUCAUUAAUCAAGAACGAAAGUUAGGGGAUCGAAGACGAUCAGAUACCGUCGUAGUCUUAACCAUAAACUAUGCCGACUAGGGAUCGGAUGAUGUUAAUUUUUUUAAUGACUCAUUCGGCGCCUUACGGGAAACCAAAGUGUUUGGGUUC